UACGUAGGGGGCGAGCGUUGUCCGGAUUUACUGGGCGUAAAGAGCUCGUAGGCGGUUCGGUAAGUCGAAUGUGAAAUCUCCACGCUCAACGUGGAGGGGUCAUUCGAAACUGCCGUGACUUGAGUACGGUAGGGGAGUGUGGAAUUCCCGGUGUAGCGGUGAAAUGCGCAGAUAUCAGGAGGAACACCGGUGGCGAAGGCGGGUCUCUGGGCCGGUACUGACGCUGAGGAGCGAAAGCGUGGGGAGCAAACAGG
rnacentral:rRNA from 1 species